rnacentral:rRNA from 1 species
AAUGGACGAGAGUCUGAACCAGCCAAGUCGCGUGCAGGAAGAAUGUCCUAUGGAUUGUAAACUGCUUUUGCAGGGGAAUAAAGUGCAUCACGUGUGAUGUUUUGUAUGUACUCUGCGAAUAAGGAUCGGCUAACUCCGUGCCAGCAGCCGCGAUAAUACGGAGGAUCCGAGCGUUAUCCGGAUUUAUUGGGUUUANAGGGUGCGUAGGCGGGAUAAUAAGUCAGUGGUGAGAGUUUGCAGCUUAACUGUAAAAUUGCCGUUGAAACUGUUAUUCUUGAGAGUAGAUAAGGUAGGCGGAAUGUGUUGUGUAGCGGUGAAAUGCAUAGAUAUCACUCAGAACUCCGAUUGCGAAGGCAGCUUACUAAGCUACAACUGACACUUAAGCACGAAAGCGUGGGGAUCAAA